CAAGAAGAUCGGAGCUGCAGCCAGCUCUAGAGGGAGAAAGAGGAGCCAAACAGAAAACAGAAGCUAAAUGAUGCAUUAAAAACCUGUUGGGGAUCACUACUCUGUGAGCGAUUCAAGGCGCGCAGACCCAGGUGAGGCGCUGGCAACCCGAAGUCCGCCGGGUUAGAGAAGCCAGAAGGAGCGCGGAGACCAGAGAGAACCGACUGGCGGUGAGAGGACAGUCCAGCAUCCUGGCUGCGGGCUAUGCUGCCGCGACAGGCUUUGUGAGCCUAGAGGCGGCACAGGAAGUCUCUCCCUUUGAAGGCCGGACAAGGAGUGAGGCAGCUCUGGUGACAGUUGCUGGACAUUAGGGUGGUUGGGGCAAAGCUGUUGGUGAGCACGCUCGGGAACGAACUGGGCGCGCGUCCCCACAUCCGAAUGGCUGAAGGUGUUUUAAAAAGCCUAUUUGAAAAAUAAACAAUCUGGGAGUAAUCUUGAUUAUAUUUCCCCAGUUGAGGGGGUUCAUUUUUGUUCUGCUUUUGUUUUUUAAUCCUAAAGCACAUAUUCGCUUAUGAAUGCUACGAAGCUGCGGGCCCGGAGAUGCGUGUUGGUGGAGGUUUUCUGCAAACUGCAUUGUGCAGCCCUUGCCUCUGGAAUUCGGAAGCCGCUGCAAAGACAGAAACUAAAAAUUGCUUGAGCUCUGGAAGCUGCAGCCUCUGGCGACGGUUAGAGCUUUCAGUAGGGACUCAUAGAUAGAUCCAUGGGCGGCAACUCUGCUUCUCACCUUCAAGACCUCAUCUGCCAAGAUAUCUGUCUUUUUCCGUUUAGACUCUCUUAAGGACUUCCUGAUGGAAAACCGCCAAGGCUGGAAGCCUUCCAGGAGCACAACCUUACAGCUUGAAAACUCAGGGCGGGGUUCAAUCCAGGUUCGCGCAGCUUGAGGCUCGCAGUGUAGGACCUCUUCAAGAAAAAAAAAUAUACAACAUCAGACUAAAUUAGGAAUCAAAGUAAAUAUUAGCUUAGCAUGCAAAAAGCAGUGUCAAUAAAUUAUACAAUUUAAAAAACCGACAAAUACCGCAACCAAAAAAAAUCCUGAUAAAUAUUUCUAAUAGUUGCCUGAACAACUGCUAUAUUUUCCUAUAUUUUUAGUUUUCUACUAUUUGAUUAACUCUUAAUUUGAUAACAGUUUGAAAUGUGUUUUCUUGGUUCAGAAUAAUUUGGUAUCUCUUCUAAAUGUGGUUAAUUUAAAAAAAUUUUAAGUUACUAUUGAAAAUUUAGAAAAGUUGAUUUUUAUUUCACAAUCAUUGAUAAUCGCAUGUCAAUUUUUAAUGCACUCAUUUGGAAGGCUGCCAAUGCUAAGAGUUUCUUUUAUGAUCCUAAGAUUUUUUCAAGACAUUUCAAGUUUCCUUUGGUAGUGACUCACUCUAUAAAUUGCUUAUGGUCAUUGACUUGUUCAUUGCUAAAUCCUUCUGGUAAAGUCCUUCUGGUAAAUAUCUGUGUAGAUAUUUUAUGCCAAAUCAACAAAAAAUUAAAAAUUUCUA